CUUAAUUUACUUUCUCUGCAGAGGAAUCCGAAAACGAAGUUGUCAAAGCUGAAAACGACGAAAAGUCCAUCGAAGGAGAUGAUCCUGAGGAAUCAGAAAACGAUGCGGCCAAAGMUGAAAACGAAGAAGAUGAAAAUUCCCUGAGUGAUGAAACCGAAAAUGAAAUGGCCAARCCUGAGAAAGAUGAGACUGACAAACCAAGGAGAGGUAAGCAUUUUAAUGAAUUCUUCAUUUCCCCCUGUCAUUAAAGAUCACACUUAAAGAUUUAAGGUCU